rnacentral:rRNA from 1 species
GAUGAACGCUGGCGGCGUGCUUAACACAUGCAAGUCGAGCGAAGCAGUUAAGUUGAUUUCUUCGGAUUGAUUCUUAACUGACUGAGCGGCGGGCGGGUGAGUAACGCGUGGGUGACCUGCCCCAUACCGGGGGAUAACAGCUGGAAACGGCUGCUAAUACCGCAUAAGCGCACAGAGCUGCAUGGCUCGGUGUGAAAAACUCCGGUGGUAUGGGAUGGGCCCGCGUCUGAUUAGGCAGUUGGCGGGGUAACGGCCCACCAAACCGACGAUCAGUAGCCGGCCUGAGAGGGCGACCGGCCACAUUGGGACUGAGACACGGCCCAAACUCCUACGGGAGGCAGCAGUGGGGAAUAUUGCACAAUGGGGGAAACCCUGAUGCAGCGACGCCGCGUGAGCGAAGAAGUAUUUCGGUAUGUAAAGCUCUAUCAGCAGGGAAGAUAAUGACGGU